rnacentral:rRNA from 1 species
AUUGAACGCUGGCGGCAGGCUUAACACAUGCAAGUCGAGCGGGGUGAUGGUGCUUGCACUAUCACUUAGCGGCGGACGGGUGAGUAAUGCUUAGGAAUCUGCCUAUUAGUGGGGGACAACAUCUCGAAAGGGAUGCUAAUACCGCAUACGUCCUACGGGAGAAAGCAGGGGAUCCCUUGUGACCUUGCGCUAAUAGAUGAGCCUAAGUCGGAUUAGCUAGUUGGUGGGGUAAAGGCCUACCAAGGCGACGAUCUGUAGCGGGUCUGAGAGGAUGAUCCGCCACACUGGGACUGAGACACGGCCCAGACUCCUACGGGAGGCAGCAGUGGGGAAUAUUGGACAAUGGGGGGAACCCUGAUCCAGCCAUGUCGCGUGUGAAGAAGGCCUUAUGGUUGUAAAGCACUUUAAGCGAGGAGGAGGCUCUUUUGGUUAAUACCCAAGACGAGUGGACGUUACUCGCAGAAUAAGCACCGGCUAACUCUGUGCCAGCCGCCGCGGUAA